AAAAUUGUAUCAUAAAUAAUCCAGAGUAGUAUUAGUUAAGGUCUUGAAACUCAAAAAAUUUGGCGGUAUUUUAGUCUAUUUAGAGGAACCUGUAGUAUAAUCGAUAAUCCACGAUGGACCUCACUUAAUUUUGUUUUUCAGUUUGUAUACCGCUGUUAUUUGAAGAUUUUAUAAGAAUAUUAAUUUUCAUGAUUUUUAAUUAAAAAAUAUAUCAGGUCAAGGUGCAGCUUAUGAUUAAGAAUUUAUGGGUUACAAUAAAAUUAUUUAUACGGAUAAAAAUAUGAAAUUAUUUUUUGAAGGUGGAUUUAAUAGUAAAUUUUUAAAGAUAAAAGAAUUGAUU
rnacentral:rRNA from 1 species